rnacentral:rRNA from 1 species
CACGUAGGGGGCAAGCGUUGUCCGGAUUUAUUGGGCGUAAAGAGCUCGUAGGUGGUUCGGUAAGUCAGGUGUGAAACCUCCAGGCUCAACCUGGAGACGCCACUUGAUACUGCUGUGACUGGAGUCCGGUAGGGGAGCGUGGAAUUCCUGGUGUAGCGGUGAAAUGCGCAGAUAUCAGGAGGAACACCAGCGGCGAAGGCAGCUCUCUGGGACGGUACUGACGCUGAGACGCGAAAGCGUGGGGAGCGAACAGG